GGUUAAGUCCCGCAACGAGCGCAACCCUUGUCCCUAGUUGCUACGCAAGAGCACUCCAGGGAGACUGCCGGUGACAAACCGGAGGAAGGUGGGGAUGACGUCAAGUCCUCAUGGCCCUUAUGGGUAGGGCUUCACACGUCAUACAAUGGUCGGAACAGAGGGUCGCCAAGCCGCGAGGUGGAGCCAAUCCCAGAAAACCGAUCAUAGUCCGGAUCGCACUCUGCAACUCGAGUGCGUGAAGCUGGAAUCGCUAGUAAUCGCGGAUCAGCAUGCCGCGGUGAAUACGUUCCCGGGUCUUGUACACACCGCCCGUCACACCAUGGGAGUGGGUUUUACCAGAAGUGGCUAGUCUAACCGCAAGGAGGACGGUCACCACGGUAGGAUUCAUGACUGGGGUGAAGUCGUAACAAGGUAGCCGUAUCGGAAGGUGCGGCUGGAUCACCUCCUUUCC
rnacentral:rRNA from 1 species